UGAGGAAUAUUGGUCAAUGGGCGAGAGCCUGAACCAGCCAAAUCGCGUGAAGGAAGACUGCCUUAUGGGUUGUAAACUUCUUUUAUACAGGAAUAAAAAAGGGGACGUGUCCCUUAUUGCAUGUACUGUAUGAAUAAGCAUCGGCUAACUCCGUGCCAGCAGCCGCGGUAAUACGGAGGAUGCGAGCGUUAUCCGGAUUUAUUGGGUUUAAAGGGUGCGCAGGCGGGCUUUUAAGUCAGCGGUGAAAUCUCGGGGCUUAACUCCGAAACUGCCGUUGAAACUGGGAGUCUUGAGUAUGGAUGAAGUAGGCGGAAUUCGUUGUGUAGCGGUGACAUGCUUAGAUAUAACGAGGAACUCCGAUUGCGUAGGCAGCUUACUAAGCCAUAACUGACGCUCAAGCACGAAAGCGUGGGAUCAAACAGGAUUAGAUACCCUGGUAGUCCACGCCGUAAACGAUGAUUACUAGUUGUAUGCGAUAUACCGUAUGUGACUAAGCGAAAAGCGAUAAAGUAAUCCACCUGGGGAGUACGCCGGCAACGGUGAAACUCAAAUG
rnacentral:rRNA from 1 species